rnacentral:rRNA from 1 species
UACGUAGGGGGCGAGCGUUGUCCGGAAUUAUUGGGCGUAAAGAGCUCGUAGGCGGUCCAUUAAGUCGGAAGUGAAAUCUCAGGGCUCAACCCUGAAAUUGCUUUCGAUACUGGCGGACUUGAGGCAAGUAGGGGAGAGCGGAAUUCCUGGUGUAGCGGUGAAAUGCGCAGAUAUCAGGAGGAACACCGGUGGCGAAGGCGGCUCUCUGGGACGGUACUGACGCUGAGACGCGAAAGCGUGGGGAGCGAACAGG